AAUGGGCGCAAGCCUGAUCCAGCCAUGCCGCGUGAGUGAUGAAGGCCUUAGGGAUGUAAAGCUCNUUCACCGGAGAAGAUAAUGACGGUAUCCGGAGAAGAAGCCCNGGCUAACUUCGUGCCAGCAGCUGCGGUAAUACGAAGGGNGCUAGCGUUGUUCGGAAUUACUGGGCGUAAAGCGCACGUAGGCGGAUAUUUAAGUCAGGGGUGAAAUCCCAGAGCUCAACUCUGGAACUGCCUUUGAUACUGGGUAUCUUGAGUAUGGAAGAGGUAAGUGGAAUNCCGAGUGUAGAGGUGAAAUUCGUAGAUAUUCGAAGGACACCAGUGGCGAAGGCGGCUUACUUGUCCAUUACUGACGUGAGGUGCGAAGCGUGGGAGCAAACAGGAUUAGAUACCCUGGUAGUCCACGCCGUAAACGAUGAAUGUUAGGUCGUCGGGCAGUAUACUGUUCGGUGGCGCAGCUAACNCAUUAAACAGUCCGCCUGGGGAGUACGGCCGCAAGAUUAAAACUCAAAGGAAUUGACGGGGGCCGGCACAAGCGGUGGAGCAUGUGGUUUAAUUC
rnacentral:rRNA from 1 species